rnacentral:rRNA from 1 species
UUGGAAAAAGGCUUGGGGAAUGUGGCACUUUCGGGUGUGUUAUAGCCCUCUGUCGUAUGCAACGGUUGGGAUUGAGGACUGCAGCACGCCUUUAUGGCCGGGGUUCGCCCACGUACGUGCUUAGGAUGUUGGCAUAAUGGCUUUAAGCGA